rnacentral:rRNA from 1 species
CCUACGGGAGGCAGCAGUGAGGAAUAUUGGUCAAUGGCCGGAAGCCUGAACCAGCCAAGUCGCGUGAGGGACGACUGUCCUAUGGGUUGUAAACCUCUUUUAUAAGGGAAGAAUAAAUGCCACGCGUAGCAUGAUGCCUGUACCUUAUGAAUAAGCCUCGGCUAACCCCGUGCCAGCAGCCGCGGUUAUACGGAGGAUUCGAGGGUUAUCCGGAUUUAUUGGGGUUAAAGGGUGCGUAGGCGGUUUUUUAAGUUAGUGGUUAAACGUCGGGGCUUCACCUUGAUUGGCCAUUUAUACUGUAAGACUCGAGUUCAGACGAGGUAGGCGGAAUGCGUGGUGUAGCGGUGAAAUGCAUAGAUAUCACGCAGAACCCCGAUUGCGAAGGCAGCAUACCGGUGCACAACUGACGCUCAGGCACGAAAGCGUGGGGAUCGAACAGGAUUAGAUACCCCAGUAGUC